rnacentral:rRNA from 1 species
UACGUAGGGUGCGAGCGUUGUCCGGAAUUAUUGGGCGUAAAGGGCUCGUAGGCGGUUUGUCGCGUCGGGCGUGAAAACCUUGGGCUUAACUCAGGGCCUGCUUUCGAUACGGGCAGACUAGAGGUAUGCAGGGGAGAACGGAAUUCCUGGUGUAGCGGUGAAAUUCGUAGAUAUCGGGAGGAACACCGGUGGCGAAGGCGGCGACCUGGGUGGAUAUUGACGCUGAGGCGCGAAAGCGUGGGGAGCAAACAGG